UACGUAGGGUGCGAGCGUUGCCCGGAUUUAUUGGGCGUAAAGGGCGCGUAGGCGGCUCUGCACGUCCGUUGUGAAAUCGCCCGGCUCAACUGGGCGGGGUCAGCGGAUACGGCGGAGCUUGAGCAAGCUAGGGGGCAAUGGAAUUCCCGGUGUAGUGGUGGAAUGCGUAGAUAUCAGGAGGAACACCGGUGGCGAAGGCGGCUUGCUGGGCCAGUUCUGACGCUGAGGAGCGAAAGCGUGGGGAGCGAACAGG
rnacentral:rRNA from 1 species